GUGAAACGCCAAGCCUAAUUGCGAAACGAUUAACUCCAAGUUGUUGUUGUUAUAGAUUCAGCUACUCGGAACAAGUUCCAAGUAGCACGGGCUAUGGUGAGCCCGUAACUUACCUGGCACAGGAGCGGGGCAAGUAGCACGGGCUAUGGUGAGCCCGUAGUGGACUUACCUGGCACAGGAGCGGUGCCUGUGGAUUAACUCCAAUAACUGGAAACUAAUAAGCCUGGCGGCAAAGAAACGCACACAGGCAGAUGAUUGGGGAGCCCCAGGAGUCCCUCUGGGUGACAAGCGCCGGUCCCGCCCCAAACAGAGAACCCACCAACUCCCGGCACCUCUCUGCCAAGCCGGCGCCGGACACCGUUACCCUGCCGGGAGAACCAGCCAGAACACGUAAUAAAAAAUCUAUUAACAAUCCAAGACCCAAGACGAUAUGUGCGCGCCAGGCGUCGUAUAAAAGGACUGUUGAAUAGAGAUGCCAAUUUACGGGCUCACCGUAGCCCGUUCUAUAUGGACACUUCGUUCUGAGUAGCUAAAUCUGAAACAAGAACAGGGAUGCCAAUUUACGGGCUCACCAUAGCCCGUGCUAUAUGGACACUUCGUUCUGAGUAGCUAAAUCUGAAACAACAGGGAUGCCAAACGGCUGUAUCAAAUCCAAAUCGCAAGCAAAACGUGAUCCGGCGGCUCCCAUGCGUAGGAGGCUCGGCGUCAAGGUUGAACGAGGUGACAUCUAGCAGUAAAUAUAUCUACGGGAGUUAGGUAAUUGCUGUAGGUUGCAUCCCAGGUAGAAAGUUAAUAAUUAAUAUAGGUGAACGUGCAUUGGGGGAUAGGAAACGGGCCCAACCAUUUCAAUCACGUCAUGGGUUUGAACACGGAAUUCUUGAUUGUAAGUCGAGAACAAACCAGACUGUACUACCGGGACCUAGGACUUCGACAAGUUAAAUCUUUAAGUAUUCUUGUGUGCCUCCGACAAUGGGAAUUAUAGUUCUACCUUUAGGCUGUUGUUCAAAGGCAAUCCAAGAUGGUGUUAAAACAUUAUUUUAAUGUUAACGUUAAUUUUAAUGUUUAUUUCAUAAUAAAAUUUUACAUCUUAAAUAAUGUUGUAUUUAAAAAUGUCCUCUUUUCAGUUGAUAUGAGAAUAGAUUGUUUUUUUUUCUUUUAAUAUUAUCAUUUGAUAAGUGUACAGUCUCUCUGAUUCCCUCAGCGGCACACUUGCGUGCUGUAGCUGCCCCAACUCACUAUAACAACAAAAAGAAGCAGCAUUUUCACAAACGACACUCGCUAUCUCAUUAGACCUUCGCCCUUCAAUUAGGAGAUGCUACGUACUCAUUAAUACGGGACGCUAAAACUAGUUACAGGAAGGGAUAAUGGAGGAUAACAUUACUCGCAAAUCUAAAUGGACAAUAGGAAGCUGAACAAUAAUUGUGCAUCAACAAUCCAGGACAAGGACAAAUAAUGAAGUACUGUAUACAGGUAUAUAUAUUUUGUAUGAUGUUACCAAGGCCAAAAGUCACCAGAACGGAUGUCAUGAACAUUCAUCAUGCCCAUCAGGAAACCAUCAAUAAUGGAUAUAGAAUAUGUCAGGGAAGCUAACUCACCAGCAGUCAAUACAAAUUCCCAAUACUGUAUCUAAUUGCUAAAAAUCUAUUCUAAUGUAAUGGAGAUUUUUGUACAAAAAUAAAAUAUAAAAUAAAAUUACCAUUUGGCAACAAUAUUUUA